UGGGGAAUAUUGCACAAUGGGGGAAACCCUGAUGCAGCAACGCCGCGUGAGUGAAGAAGUAUUUCGGUAUGUAAAGCUCUAUCAGCAGGGAAGAAAAUGACAGUACCUGACUAAGAAGCCCCGGCUAACUACGUGCCAGCAGCCGCGGUAAUACGUAGGGGGCAAGCGUUAUCCGGAUUUACUGGGUGUAAAGGGAGCGUAGACGGUGGGAUAAGUCAGAAGUGAAAGCCCGGGGCUCAACCGCGGGACUGCUUUUGAAACUGUUCUGCUAGAGUGCAGGAGAGGUAAGUGGAAUUCCUAGUGUAGCGGUGAAAUGCGUAGAUAUUAGGAGGAACACCGGUGGCGAAGGCGGCUUACUGGACUGUAACUGACGUUGAGGCUCGAAAGCGUGGGGAGCAAACA
rnacentral:rRNA from 1 species